GCGCGUUGAGUUCUUGAGGUGUGGUAUGGAGCUGGGCGUUUUGCUGAAGCCAGUAAUCUUGUGGUGAGCGACUUUGAGGGGAAGAUGACAAAAAGGGCGGCCGGAGGUGUGGGGGCCUUGAGUCAAACAGGUCGCCGCGAGAUGGGGGACUUCAGGAGGCUGCUUCACUCGCCUGAGGCAGGACCUCUGUCCGCCUACACACACCUCCUCACGUCUUUUCCCCGGCGAUUCAGAGACAGAAACAACCCUCCCGAGCUCUGACGCGCUUCCGCGUCCCACCAGCUGCACUUUAUGCCCACCGCUGCCUUUCAUAAUUGUAUCCUCCUCCCCCUCAUCAGUAUUAGAAACUUUACAUCUGCUCUUGACUGUGGAAGAUGUCUCCGCAGCAACUGGUGAGCGUCCCACACCUCACAAUCUGAAUCCAGAACGUCCCUCAUCAAGAAAGAGGAUGCUGCUGUCCUAAUCUUCCCGAGUGGGAUGUAGUGAAGGUCACGUGGAGAUCGGAAGCUCUGUAUAAAGCAACACAAAAAUUGAAGACUUUGAAACCCUGGACUGUGGCAGAACUUGGGUUCUUGAGGCACACAUGGAAGGCUACUCAGUGAACACAGGACUGUUACAUAUGAACAAAAGACCAAAAGUUUGAUAACUCAGUUGGCAAGGCUAUGGGGAAAUAGACACUCUCAUAUAUCAAUCAUGAGAGGAAGAAGAAUCUG